rnacentral:tRNA from 1 species
GAGGGUAUAGCUCAAGUGGUAGAGCGCAUGCUUAGCAUGCACAAGGUCCUGGGUUCAAUCUCCUGUACCUCCU